CAGUCGCCGCGGUAAUACGUAGGUCGCAAGCGUUGUCCGGAAUUAUUGGGCGUAAAGGGCUCGCAGGCGGUUUCUUAAGUCUGAUGUGAAAGCCCCCGGCUCAACCGGGGAGGGUCAUUGGAAACUGGGAAACUUGAGUGCAGAAGAGGUGAGUGGAAUUCCCAGUGUAGAGGUGAAAUUCGUAGAUAUUGGGAAGAACACCAGUGGCGAAGGCGGCUCACUGGACCGACACUGACGCUGAGGCGCGAAAGCGUGGGGAGCAAACAGGAUUAGAUACCCCCGUAGUCCCUGUCUCUUAUAC
rnacentral:rRNA from 1 species